rnacentral:rRNA from 1 species
GGGUGAAGAGUAGAGAGAGGAGACGGGUACAGGACCUCUGAGGAGGGCUAGGUUUAGGGGUAGCAAAGGCUAGCUAGAUGACAGGGAGCGGGUCAGAACUGAGGCAUAUUUAUCAGGGGAAUGAGAGGAGACGGCUAAAAACCGUUUUAGGGAGAGAGAGCACGGACAAAGUGGAGCGGGCCUAGAGCGGCCUCAGGUGGUGGCGUCCUCGUGGAGGUGGUGAGCUAAAGUAGCGGUGUCUUCCCUUCGUGGGUGGGCUCACGAAGCUGGAGGCGGGGCUGCUUGUAGCGGCAGCGGCGAGAUCGGCUUGGAGUGGAUGCAAUCGUCUUCCGGGCCAGUAGGGCCUCCUACAAAACCUCAAGCUGUACAGGGAGGAGCGGAGCAGGAUAAGAGGGGCUCGAGCCCUCCGGAGAGGUCGCUGCGGUCGAAGUUUAGACUCGGCACGGCGGCGGCAGAGCAAGUUAAGGCCGGCCGUAUGAGACAAGGAGAGACUAACAGGCCUCACACUUCGCCUAGUCUUAACUCGCAAUCUCAUGAAGUUGUCGCAAGUUCCUAAAAGUCUACUAGUCACUCUACGUGAUCCCAGCGCUCGGAAGUGAGCUGUACAAGAGAUCACCCGUAACUACCUGAGCAGCAAAUAAUACGAUGGAAAAGCAACUAUAAUAACUUAUUUCAAUCGAUACACGAUGAAUCAAACAUUAUGAAAUACUUAAGACCUAGUAUGCAACAUCAUUUACUACGUGAACAAUAAACCAUAAGUAUACAUGACACACACGAUCGCUCAGCUAGGUCCCUGAUCGUAUCACUCGUGUCUCUGUAGCUUAGAAUGGUCUAAACCCAGCAAUAUCUACCAUAGUCUCGUUACACAACUGACGUCCAGCACUGGGAUCUUUUACCUAAUCUUUUCGGUAUCCUCACUUUUUGAACAAAAUGUUGAACAACAGAUGAACAAUCUAGUAUG